CCCUUUGCUGCCCCUCGCGGAGGGAAACCGGAGACCCCUCGCGGGUUUCCGGACCGCGGGCCUAGGGGUGCUCAUUGUCCCCGCCCGCGACGGGUUCAAACCCAGCGUGUAGAGGGCUGUGGGACACGGGAGUGGAGUUUUUCGGGGCGACUCUGACCCCCGCCCCCCGACUCAGGCUCCGGCACGGGUUCUUACGUCUCCGCCCUGCUGUAUCUCCGUCUCGAAAUACAGGUGCCCUUCGGUUCUGAGCACUUGGAACAGUUUGUGAUGGAGUUUGAUUAAAGUGAACACAUGGCUGGACCUGAAAAUGAACACACACACACACACACACACACCCGCCCUGCACGGUUUACGCAGCCUCUCUAUCCGGAAUCUGGGAGGAAAGGCUCUUUGUCGGCCCCGGAAGGGGCAGGGGUCUGGGUUCUCCGCCUGGUUCCCUCACUUUCCCCAUCGCUGGGUCGGGGCCUCCCUUGCUGUUGGGAGGGGGUGUGGACGCGGACCUCCUGCGUGUGAAUAAGUGCGAAGCUGGAGGAGGGAGGAAACUUCAAUCUUAUGGAGCUCGUGUGUCUUCUCUCUCCGCUGGGGCCACGGAAAGUCGGGGGUUCCCUGUGGAAUGAGACAAGAGUCCAGACAGGGUGGGAUGUGUGAUGGUAAACCCCUGGAGGGCCAGAGGAAGGCCGCACAGAGGGUGACUGCAGCCUGUUUUGUUCUACGCACGCGCAGGAAGUGAAUUGAAACUCUGACGAGAUGCUCAACCCUGCCUCCUGGAAGCUCUAGAUUCAGACAAGUCAGUCUCCUCAUUUGCAGAUGGGGCUUCCCUGGUGGCACAGCGGUUAAGAAUCCACCUGACAAUGCAGGGGACACGGGUUCGAGCCCUGGUCCUGGAAGAUCCCACAUGCCGCGGAGCAACUAAGCCCAUGAGCCACAACUACUGAAGCCUGCGUGCCUAGAGCCUGCGCAUCGCAACAAAGAGUAACCCCGACUCGCCGCAACUAGAGAAAGCCCGCACGCAGCAACGAAGACCCAACACAGCCAAAUAAAUAAAUAAGUAAAUUUUAAAAAAACCCAAAAAACUAAAGGAUGAGUUUUGCAAGAUAUGAAGUCCUGGAGAUCUGUACCCAGCAAUGUGGAUGAAGUGAACACCACUGAACUGAACACUUAAAAACAGCCACAAUGGUACAUUUCAGGUGAUGUGCUUUUUACCACAAUUUUUAAAAAGGAGAGUAAUAGACAAGCUUCAGAAAAGUUGGAAAAGACUGAAAACUAACAAAAGGCAACAUCCAACCCCCAAACACCAUUAAUUAAUUAAUAACAUUUGGACACACUUCCUGCUGUCUUUUCUUAGCCCUGAUGUCCCUCCCUCUAAGAGGAAGGCCUUUGCGGGGACUGCAGGCUGGAGCCCAUCCAGGUAGAGGUGUCCCGGGAGCUUCAGGAUGGCACCCAGCCGGGGGGCUGGAGGGGAAUGGGUGGUGCUUUCCCACUGGCUCUGCCCAGCAUGCCUCCCCCUGCCAUUCCAUCUGCACCCCCCGCAGGAGAACUGUAGUGUUCUCUGCCCCCUUCUCUGUGACUUCUGCUGUGUCUUCUCCUUGGGGACAUUGGGGCACAUAACUCACCACUAAGAAAGGUCAGUGCCGCAGGGAGUCUGAGGUCGGGCAGGUGGGCUCCAUUUCGGCUCUGCCGCAGGGAGACGUGGGCUGUAAUUGCAGCCCCGCAGGGUCGCUGGGCAUAUUGUGGGGGGAUAUGGAAAGUCUUCUUUCUCUCUUGGCGCCCCGUACAGAGCAGGUGCUCGGCAUGUGUGGUUGGUACCCCAUAAACGCACAUCUCCGUCCCGUGUUGUAGAAGGCAACCUUGCUUGCUUGCUUGAGACCACUGGGCUCUAAAAAAUUAAGGGUACAUUAAGCAAAAUAGAAAUUGAUGUAAGUGAUUAUGUGAUUUGGAAGGUAGUUGUUUUU